rnacentral:rRNA from 1 species
AUACGUAGGGUGCGGGCGUUGUCCGGAAUUACUGGGCGUAAAGAGCUCGUAGGUGGUUUGUCGCGUCGUCUGUGAAAUUCCGGGGCUUAACUCCGGGCGUGCAGGCGAUACGGGCAUAACUUGAGUACUGUAGGGGAGACUGGAAUUCCUGGUGUAGCGGUGAAAUGCGCAGAUAUCAGGAGGAACACCGGUGGCGAAGGCGGGUCGCUGGGCAGUAACGGACGCUGAGGAGCGAAAGCAUGGGUAGCGAACAGGAUUAGAUACCCUGGUAGUCCAUGCCGUAAACGGUGGUCGCUAGGUGUAGGGGUCUUCCACGACUUCUGUGCCGUAGCUAACGCAUUAAGCGCCCCGCCUGGGGAGUACGGCCGCAAGGCUAAAACUCAAAUGAAUUGACGGGG